rnacentral:tRNA from 1 species
ACCCAGGUGGUGAAAUUGGUAGACACGCUACUUUGAGGGGGUAGUGGGCGUUCGCUCGUGUGAGUUCGAGUCUCAUCCUGGGUAC